AACGAACGCUGGCGGCAGGCCUAACACAUGCAAGUCGAGCGCGCCUUCGGGUGAGCGGCGGACGGGUGAGUAACGCGUGGGAAUAUGCCCUUCUCUACGGAAUAGUCCUGGGAAACUGGGGGUAAUACCGUAUACGCCCUUUGGGGGAAAGAUUUAUCGGGGAAGGAUUAGCCCGCGUUGGAUUAGGUAGUUGGUGGGGUAAUGGCCUACCAAGCCGACGAUCCAUAGCUGGUUUGAGAGGAUGAUCAGCCACACUGGGACUGAGACACGGCCCAGACUCCUACGGGAGGCAGCAGUGGGGAAUCUUAGACAAUGGGGGCAACCCUGAUCUAGCCAUGCCGCGUGAGUGAUGAAGGCCUUAGGGUUGUAAAGCUCUUUCAGCUGGGAAGAUAAUGACGGUACCAGCAGAAGAAGCCCCGACUAACUCCGUG
rnacentral:rRNA from 1 species